GUCAAGAUGACGCUCAUGCACGAAAGCGUGGGAGCAAACAGGAUUAGAUACCCUGGUAGUCCACGCCCUAAACGAUGUCUACUAGUUGUCGGGUUUUAAUUAACUUGGUAACGCAGCUAACGCGUGAAGUAGACCGCCUGGGGAGUACGGUCGCAAGAUUAAAACUCAAAGGAAUUGACGGGGACCCGCACAAGCGGUGGAUGAUGUGGAUUAAUUCGAUGCAACGCGAAAAACCUUACCUACCCUUGACAUGUACGGAAUCCUUGAGAGAUCGAGGAGUGCUCGAAAGAGAGCCGUAACACAGGUGCUGCAUGGCUGUCGUCAGCUCGUGUCGUGAGAUGUUGGGUUAAGUCCCGCAACGAGCGCAACCCUUGUCAUUAGUUGCUACAUUUAGUUGAGCACUCUAAUGAGACUGCCGGUGACAAACCGGAGGAAGGUGGGGAUGACGUCAAGUCCUCAUGGCCCUUAUGGGUAGGGCUUCACACGUCAUACAAUGGUACAUACAGAGGGCCGCCAACCCGCGAGGGGGAGCUAAUCCCAGAAAGUGUAUCGUAGUCCGGAUCGCAGUCUGCAACUCGACUGCGUGAAGUUGGAAUCGCUAGUAAUCGCGGAUCAGCAUGUCGCGGUGAAUACGUUCCCGGGUCUUGUACACACCGCCCGUCACACCAUGGGAGCGGGUUUUACCAGAAGUAGGUAGCUUAACCGCAAGGAGGGCGCUUACCACGGUAGGAUUCGUGACUGGGGUGAAGUCGUAACAAGGUAACCAAGGG
rnacentral:rRNA from 1 species